rnacentral:rRNA from 1 species
AGUCGCACGGGACAUUUUCGGUAUUUAUAUUGAAAAUGUUUAGUGGCGCACGGGUGAGUAACACGUGAAUGACAUGCCCUUCAGUGGGGGAUAGCCCGGGGAAACCUGGAUUAAUACCCCAUAGUCUCGCAAGAGUAAAGGUGGCUAGCAAUAGCUGUCGCUGAGGGAUUGGUUCGCGCCCUAUCAGCUUGUCGGUGAGGUAACAGCUCACCAAGGCUACGACGGGUACCUGGUCUGAGAGGACGAUCAGGCACACUGGAACUGAGACACGGUCCAGACACCUACGGGUGGCAGCAGUCGAGAAUAAUUCACAAUGGGGGCAACCCUGAUGGUGCAACGCCGCGUGGAGGAUGAAGGUCUUCGGAUUGUAAACUCCUGUCAUCUGAGAGCAAAACCUGGCUGUGAAUAGCAGACAGGGUUGAUAGUAUCAGAAGAGGAAGGGACGGCUAACUUCGUGCCAGCAGCCGCGGUAAUACGAAGGUCCUGAGCGUUGUUCGGAAUCACUGGGCGUAAAGGGAGCGUAGGCGGCGCGGUAAGUCAGAUGUGAAAUCCCGAGGCUCAACCUCGGAACUGCAUCCGAUACUGCCGUGCUAGAGUAAUGGAGGGGUAGCUGGAAUUCUCGGUGUAGCAGUGAAAUGCGUGGAUAUCGAGAGGAACACUCGUGGCGAAAGCGAGCUACUGGACAUUAACUGACGCUGAGCUCGAAGGCCAGGGUAGCGAAGGGGAUUAGAUACCCCUGUAGUCCUAGCAGUAA